rnacentral:rRNA from 1 species
AUACGGAGGAUGCGAGCGUUAUCCGGAUUUAUUGGGUUUAAAGGGAGCGUAGGUGGGAUAUUAAGUCAGCUGUGAAAGUUUGGGGCUCAACCUUAAAAUUGCAGUUGAUACUGGCUGUCUUGAGUACAGUAGAGGGGGGCGGAAUUCGUGGGGUAACGGUGGAAUGCUUAGAUAUCACGAAGAACUCCGAUUGCGAAGGCAGCUCACUGGACUGCAACUGACACUGAUGCUCGAAAGUGUGGGUAUCAAACAGGAUUAGAUACCCUGGUAGUCCACACAGUAAACGAUGAAUACUCGCUGUUUGCGAUAUACAGUAAGCGGCCAAGCGAAAGCAUUAAGUAUUCCACCUGGGGAGUACGCCGGCAACGGUGAAACUCAAAUGAAUUGGCGGGG